rnacentral:tRNA from 1 species
AAGAAAGCUCGCAAGAACUGCUAAUUCAUGCCUUCCGUGACUACACUCACGGCUUUCUUA